rnacentral:rRNA from 1 species
GACGUAGGGUGCAAGCGUUGUCCGGAUUUAUUGGGCGUAAAGAGCUCGUAGGCGGCUUGUUGCGUCGACUGUGAAAACCCGCGGCUUAACCGCGGGCUUGCAGUUGAUACGGGCAGGCUAGAGUUCGGUAGGGGAGACUGGAAUUCCUGGUGUAGCGGUGAAAUGCGCAGAUAUCAGGAGGAACACCCGUGGCUAAGGCGGCUCUCUAGUACGGUACUGACGCUGAGACGCGAAAGCGUGGGGAGCGAACAGG